GUCGACGUACUUCAUAGGAUCAUUUCUAUAGUUCACGUCCCACUUUGACUCUUCUAAAGAGCCAUCGAAUCCAACUUGGUUGAUGAGUAAGAUACCCUUGCGCCCUCAAAGUGAGAACCAAUUUAGCUUGUCCAUGAUCCUUUGCGGUCUGGUCAUCUACAAUUUGUUUGCCUUUCAUUAGCACCUUUGCCUCGUGCAUUGGUCUCGAAAGGAGCGAUGAUCUUGACCCUUUUCUAAAUGCUCUCUCGGGAGACUUAGUUUUGGGUGGGUGCGAGUGGCUGUCUGACAAGU
rfam:[Candida] intermedia strain CBS 141442 genome assembly, chromosome: IV